CCUACGGGAGGCAGCAGUGGGGGAUAUUGCACAAUGGGGGAAACCCUGAUGCAGCAACGCCGCGUGUGGGAAGAAGGCUUUCGGAUCGUAAACCACUGUUCUUGGUGAAGAUAAUGACGGUAACCAAGGAGAAAGAUCCGGCUAACUACGUGCUAGCAGCCGCGGUAAUACGUAGGGAGCAAGCGUUGUACGGAUUUACUGGGUGUAAAGGGUGCGUAGGCGGUUUUGCAAGUCAGACGUGAAAACCACAGGCUCAACCUGUGGACUGCGAUUGAAACUGUGAGGCUUGAGUGAAGUAGAGGUAGGCGGAAUUCCCGGUGUAGCGGUGAAAUGCGUAGAGAUCGGGAGGAACACCGGUAGCGAAGGCGGCCUACUGGGCUUUAACUGACGCUGAGGUGCGAAAGCAUGGGUAGCAAACAGGAUUAGAUACCCGAGUAGUC
rnacentral:rRNA from 1 species